CCUAGGGCGGCUGCAGUGGGGAAUAUUGGGCAAUGGGCGCAAGCCUGACCCAGCAAUGCCGCGUGAAGGAAGAAGGCUUUCGGGUUGUAAACUUCUUUGACAGGGGAAGAGCAGAAGACGGUACCCUGAAAACAAGCCACGGCUAACUACGUGCCAGCAGCCGCGGUAAUACGUAGGGAGCAAGCGUUGUCCGGAAUUACUGGGCGUAAAGGGCGCGUAGGUGGGCGCUUAAGUCAGGUGUGAAAACUCCGGGCUCAACCUGGAGACUGCACUUGAAACUGGGUGUCUUGAGGGCAGGAGAGGAAAGUGGAAUUCCUAGUGUAGCGGUGAAAUGCGUAGAUAUUAGGAGGAACACCAGUGGCGAAGGCGACUUUCUGGACUGUACCUGACGCUGAGGCGCGAAAGCGUGGGUAGCGAACGGGAUUAGAUACCCGAGUAGUC
rnacentral:rRNA from 1 species